rnacentral:rRNA from 1 species
GGGCAGCUAACAUGCAAGUCGAACGGUAGCAUUAAGCUUGCUUCUGUGGAAAGUGGCGCACGGGUGAGUAAUGCCUAUGAAUCCUGCCCGGAAGUGGGGGAUACGCUGGGAAUUGAGAUUAAUACCGCAUACAUUCUACGGAAGAAAGUGGGGGAUGUUCAGACCUUGCUCUGAUUAAUAAGCCCAUGUCUGAUUAUCUAUUUGGGGAGGGAAAGGCUCUCCCCGGCAACAAUAUGACUCUGGGAUGAGAGAAGAAGACCCCCCACUGGGGCUGAGACACGGUCCCCACACUCCUGGGGGGGGCCGCUGGGGAAUAUUGUACAAUGGGGAAGAGCCUGAUACCCCCCUGCGCCGUGUGUGAAAAAAGUCUCCUCAGUGUAAAACACUUUUUUUUGGCAGGAAGGGCCCUACCCACAUGCAUGUUGGUUAUGGCGCCACCGGAAUAAUGAUCGCCGAAUACCUCGGUGCCAGCCGCCGUGAUACUACAGAGGGUGCAGUCAUCAAUAUUAAUUGCGGUUCAAAAAUGCCUCGGCGGUUUAUUAUUACAUGGGAGAAAAAAUCCCGCGCCUCCACCGGGGAGCCCUUUUCACUACUGACUGACAAUACUCUGGAAGAGGGCGGAGUAUUUCCCGGUGUGGCGAAAAGCUGCGAUAUUUCACGAAGGACCACUAGUGACGAAGGCUACCACUGGGACUAAUGAUGCUGAUGCACGACAGAAUCGGGAGCAGACAACAGGAUAUACACCCCUGGUCCCCGCCCCCGACAACGAAUACUACCCUGUUCGUCGAUACACAUUGAGCUCUUAAGCGA